GCGGGCGUGGUGAAAUUGGUAGACACGCUAGACUUAGGAUCUAGUGCCGCGAGGUGUGAAGGUUCGAGUCCUUUCGCCCGCA
rnacentral:tRNA from 1 species